AUGCAUCAUCAACGUCAACACCUUUAUCCUAAAAAAGUUUUAAAUCCUCAAUUAAUGGACUUAGAUAAACAUCUAUGUCAUUUUCAGGUUGUCUUGGUCCCGAAAUCAUCAUACUUAACAUCAUAUACUUGUGCUUACUUCUCAACCAAGGAGAUAGGUUGCAAAAUUGUGAGAAGAACAGGCCACGAAGAAUGGCAAAGAAUCAUCUAUAUGGUGAAUUUUUCCAUCACAUUUUCUUUAAUUUGCAUUCCAUCUAAUAUUUUUUUUAUCAUUCACAAUAGCAAAAAGUCUCUUGAACCUUGA